GGGCCCGCACAAGCGGUGGAGCAUGUGGUUUAAUUCGAAGCAACGCGCAGAACCUUACCUAGGCUUGAAAUCCUCAGAAUUCGACGUAAUGGUCGAAGUGCCCGCAAGGGAAUUGAGUGACAGGUGCUGCAUGGCUGUCGUCAGCUCGUGUUGUGAAAUGUUGGUUAAGUCUCGCAACGAGCGCAACCCCUAUCUUUAGUUGCCAGCAUUAAGUUGGGCACUCUAGAGAGACUGCCCGGGUUAACCGGGAGAAAGGUGGGGAUGACGUCAAGUCCUCAUGGCCCUUAUGCCUAGGGCUACACACGUAAUACAAUGGUGCAUACAAUGGGAAGCGACCCGGCGACGGUAAGCAAA
rnacentral:rRNA from 1 species